rnacentral:rRNA from 1 species
AGAGUUUGAUCAUGGCUCAGAACGAACGCUGGCGGCGUGGAUAAGACAUGCAAGUCGAGCGAGAUCUUUUCCUGUAGCAAUACAGGGAAAAGUCUAGCGGCGAACGGGUGCUUAACACGUGGGCAACCUGCCGUGAAGUGGAGGAUAGCUCGCCGAAAGGCGAAUUAAUACCGCAUGUGAUUAGAGAGGACAUCCUUUCGAAAUUAAAGUCGGGGCAACCUGACGCUUCUUGUGGGGCCCGCGGCCUAUCAGCUAGUUGGUGAGGUAACGGCUCACCAAGGCUUUGACGGGUAGCUGGUCUGAGAGGACGACCAGCCACACUGGGACUGAGACACGGCCCAGACACCUACGGGUGGCAGCAGUCGAGAAUUUUUGACAAUGGGGGAAACCCUGAUCGAGCGACGCCGCGUGGAGGAUGAAUGUCUUCGGAUUGUAAACUCCUGUCAUUGGGGAACAAGGUGCAUACGUUAACUGCGUGUGUAUUGAUAGUACCCGAAGAGGAAGAGACGGCUAACUCUGUGCCAGCAGCCGCGGUAAUACAGAGGUCUCAAGCGUUGUUCGGAUUCAUUGGGCGUAAAGGGUGCGUAGGCGGCGCGGUAAGUCGGGUGUGAAAUCUCGGAGCUUAACUCCGAAACUGCAUUCGAUACUGCCGUGCUUGAGGACUGGAGAGGAGACUGGAAUUUACGGUGUAGCGGUGAAAUGCGUAGAUAUCGUAAGGAAGACCAGUGGCGAAGGCGGGUCUCUGGACAGUUCCUGACGCUGAGGCACGAAGGCCAGGGGAGCAAACGGGAUUAGAUACCCUAGUAGUCC